rnacentral:rRNA from 1 species
GUGCCAGCAGCCGCGGUAAUACGAAGGAUGCAAGCGUUAUCCGGAAUUACUGGGCGUAAAGGGCGUCUAGGCGGUUGAGCAAGUCACCUGUAAAAGUCCACGGCUUAACUGUGGAAUGCCUGGUGAUACUGUUUAACUUGGGUACAGGAGAGGAGGGUGGAACUCACAGAGUAGCGGUGGAAUGCGUAGAUACUGUGAGGUACCCCGAUGGCGAAGGCAACCCUCUGGCCUGUUACCGACGCUGAAGCGCGAAAGCGUGGGGAGCGAAGGGGAUUAGAUACCCCCGUAGUCCACGCCGCAAACGAUGUUCACUGGGUGUCGGUCAUUAAUUAGAUCGGUGCCGGAGCUAACGCAUUAAGUGAACCGCCUGGGGACUACGGCCGCAAGGCUAAAACUCAAGAGAAUUGACGGGGCCCUGCACAAGCGGUGGAGCACGUGGUUUAAUUCGAUGAUAAGCGAAGAACCUUACCUGGGCUUGACAUACUAGCAGUAGGAGCCAGAGAUGGUAACGACCCCUACUUUUGGUAGGGGAACUAGUACAGGUGAUGCAUGGCUGUCCUCAGCUCGUGUCGUGGGACGUUGGGUUAAGUCCCGAAACGAGCCCAACCCCUGUUGUUAAUUGCCACGGGGUAAUGCCGGGGACUCUAACAAGACUGCUGGUGAAUAACCGGAGGAAGGAGGGGAUGACGUCAAGUC